rnacentral:rRNA from 1 species
UGCGCGGAAGAUGUAACGGGGCUAAACCAUGCACCGAAGCUGCGGCAGCGACACUAUGUGUUGUUGGGUAGGGGAGCGUUCUGUAAGCCGUUGAAGGUGUCCUGUGAGGGGGGCUGGAGGUAUCAGAAGUGCGAAUGCUGACAUAAGUAACGAUAAAGCGGGUGAAAAGCCCGCUCGCCGGAAGACCAAGGGUUCCUGUCCAACGUUAAUCGGGGCAGGGUGA